UACGUAGGGUGCAAGCGUUGUUCGGAAUCAUUGGGCGUAAAGCGCGUGUAGGUGGUUUGCUAAGUCGGGUGUGAAAUCCCUGGGCUCAACCCAGGAAGGGCACUCGAAACUGGCUGGCUAGAAGAUGGUAGAGGAAGGUGGAAUUCCAAGUGUAGAGGUGAAAUUCGUAGAUAUUUGGAGGAAUACCGGCGGCGAAGGCGGCCUUCUGGACCAUUCUUGACACUGAGACGCGAAAGCGUGGGUAGCAAACAGG
rnacentral:rRNA from 1 species